UACGUAGGUGGCAAGCGUUGUCCGGAUUUACUGGGCGUAAAGAGCGCGCAGGCGGUCGUUCAAGUCGACGUGUGAAAGCCCCCGGCUCAACUGGGGAGGGUCACGCGAUACUGAUCGACUGGAAGGCAGGAGAGGGUAGUGGAAUUCCCGGUGUAGUGGUGAAAUGACGUAGAUAUCGGGAGGAACACCAGUGGCGAAGGCGACUACCUGGCCUGUUCUUGACGCUGAGGCGCGAAAGCUAGGGGAGCAAACGGG
rnacentral:rRNA from 1 species